GAUGAACGCUGGCGGCGUGCCUAAUACAUGCAAGUCGAGCGGCAGCACGGUCUUCGGACUGGUGGCGAGCGGCGGACGGCUGAGUAACGCGUAGGAACAUGCCCCAAAGUGAGGAAUAACUGCCCGAAAGGGUGGCUAAUGCCGCAUGUGGUCUUCGGACUAAAGCUUUAUGCGCUUUGGGAGUGGCCUGCGUCCGAUUAGCUUGUUGGUGGGGUAAUGGCUCACCAAGGCGACGAUCGGUAGCUGGUCUGAGAGGAUGAUCGGCCAGACUGGAACUGAGAACGGUCCAGACUCCUACGGGAGGCAGCAGUAGGGAAUUUUCCAAAAUGGGCGAGAGCCUGAUGGAGCAACGCCGCGUGCAGGAUGAAUGCCUUCGGGUUGUAAACUGCUUUUGUACGGAACGAAACGGCCUGCUCUAAUACAGCGGGCUAAUGACGGUACCGUAAGAAUAAGCACCGGC
rnacentral:rRNA from 1 species